GUUUUAUUUAGCUCACGUGUAGGAGGCUUAAAAUAUAAGAUCAGCCAGCUCCAUCUGCCCAUCCUCUACUCAAGGCUCCCUCGAUCCUGUCACAACAUGGCAGGGACUCAGAAAGAAAUACCCACAUGCAGAAGAGAUGGCCUCUCUUCAUAAAAAUGCACUCUGAAGAGCAGUGACCACCCCCAACCAGGAGACAACAGUAAUCUGUUCAGAGGUAGUGUCCACAAUGAUCUGAUUUCCUCACAAUGGGCCUUAUCUCUUUCUUAAAGCUCCCUCCACUUCAGCACUGCCACUCAGAGAAACGAGUCUCCAGUAUAUGAACCUUGGGGCCCACAAGUGAGAAAGAAUCUGUCCUAUGCUGAAAGAAAGGAGAAGUUUACUGAGGACACAUUUAGGAUCACAUCUAGGAAGAAGGGGACAAUUGUGAAGAGGUCUUCCCACUGGCUGCACUGGCCCUAGGCUGCGACUCUGCAACUCUGAAGCCUUCUGGAUUUCGUUACCUGUUAGGCAGAUAGUGACCAACUCCAGGUCAUCUCCAGGCAGAUGCUGAAUACAUAACAGUAUGUGUACUACUGUUGUUCCGGGGAACACCAUGUUAGCCGAUACUGGUGCUAUUCAGACUCUUCGAGCUACAGCUGAUGUUUGGCUUGGGAUCUCCGCAUCUGUUUUCAACCGCUGUUGGAUGAAGCCCCUCAGAAGACAGUUUUGCUAGGCUCCUGAAGAUUUAAAGCCUUCGCUGCUCUGUAGCCAAAAGGUGGAUGCUGCAAUGCGUCAUGGGAAGAUGGCUUAUGGUUCAGAUGAAUUCACCAUAAUCCUGCAGAAACCUUACUCUUUAAUCCUCUAAUGACAAUGUCGCUAAACAGAAGCCACUGCUGCCAUCAUUAAUACAUCCACACAUGACCAAGCUAAGAAAUUCCAUUUGGAAACUUUGCAUCAGAAAAUGUCAGUUCCACUGAAUUUGAAGGAAUUUCUGAUAAGAUUUCCUUGCAAAGGGACCAUCUCUUAAUGGGAUUAGAGGGUCACAGUGGUCCCCCGAGACAGUGUGUUGGAAAACCAUUUUGGAAGAAAACACAACUGGGAGAGAAUGGUAAACAUGGCUGCUAAGAGACAACUUCCGACAUUGCCAUCGAUGCAGGGUGGCUCUAUUUCUGCCUUGACUGCCGAGGGAGUGGGCUGGUAUUUUGAGCACCCUGAUGAAGAAUUAGAGAGAAGUGUUAUUGGAGUGCACAAUGUUGACUUUGUCAUGUGCCCAGGCAUAGGGCAAUCAGACCACAGGGGAAUGGGGAGAGUGAUGGCUACACCCCACUUGCUGUGAGCAUCGACACUCCUAUUGACUCCUGUUGACAUGGUGGGGCUGCAGAGUCAAGUACCCUAACAAGAACAUGUGCUCCAAGCAACUACAUUUGCAAAGACUCAGAACUCUGGCUCAGGCUGGCUCAGGACCUAUGAGAAACAUGGGCCUCUGAAGAGGUGGAGAGACAGUUGGAUUAGAAAUAGCUCAGAUAUUGCCCAGACAGGUGGGCACUCUUGAGACUGCAAGGGAAAAAAAGAAAUAAAUAGCUCAGAUACAUGAAGCCAAAACAUUCCUGCUAAGUAGAAUUACUACAGCUAGGGUAGGAGCUGUGACCUUCCCAAGAGGUCACGAGAAUAUCCUGAAUUCUUUUCCUGGCCUUAAUUGUGUUGUCUUUGUUCAUUUUGAAGUCUCUGUUUAAACAGAGAUAUAAGUAGUGUCACGCAAUAAUAAAUUUCUUCAGCAGGC
ensembl:lncRNA LOC108350739 uncharacterized LOC108350739